rnacentral:rRNA from 1 species
UACGUAGGGUGCGAGCGUUACUCGGAAUUACUGGGCGUAAAGCGUGCGCAGGCGGUCUUGCAAGACAGAUGUGAAAUCCCCGGGCUCAACCUGGGAACUGCAUUUGUGACUGCAAGGCUGGAGUGCGGCAGAGGGGGAUGGAAUUCCGCGUGUAGCAGUGAAAUGCGUAGAUAUGCGGAGGAACACCGAUGGCGAAGGCAAUCCCCUGGGCCUGCACUGACGCUCAUGCACGAAAGCGUGGGGAGCAAACAGG